GCGGGACAUCAUGGAGGCAGGAGCCUAUUCACCUCCCAGCAGCCAGAAAUCAGAGAAAGCAAGCAAAGGACCGAGGAGCAGAACAAAAGGACCGAACAUGAAUAAAGACAUGACAACUAGCCCAAAUGAUCCAGCCUUUCAGAAUGCCUCAGUUACAGUUUCCUCAAAAACCUACACCCAGAACAACGUCAAGGCUUCUAGCUUCACAGCCAAGACUUCAGGGACCCCUAGAGAUGCCAUCACCCCCAGACAACAGGAAGCAGUCUAGAGAACAUGAUGCCUACAUUGCCAAGAGGUUUCCGUUUGGCUGAGAGAUACCAUCCAAGCAUCAACUACUGACUACAACCUGCUCCGAAUGACUACCAACCAUGGGCAUGCUGAAAGCUGAUGUGGACCAGACUAGCCAAUGUGAUUGCUCCCUGUUUCUUCAGCUAGGUCAGAAAGCAAGAUAUGUCUGAUAAAUGCUCCAUUGCUCUAAUUCCCUCCUUGCCUUUGUCUAGCAUUCCAGCCUUCCUGGGCCUAGUUUCAACAGGAAGUAGUUACAGAAGAAAGUUUAUCACCCCUUGUCCCCUAAGAGGCUGGAAUGUUAGAUCAAAAGGAAAUUCCCUAGCAUAGGAGACAAAAUAGUUACCUACAGUGCCUAUGGGCAUACCAAGAAAGGUACCUGUUAAGACCAAAUAGGCCCAGAUCUAUCCACAUGUAGAUUCAUUAGCUGAAAUAGUGCUAUAGCAUGAUAGGGCACUCAACCUGCUCCAUGUAAAAUGGAUAGGUUAUUAUAUAGCUUGAAGAGAAAAUUGUUGCUUCUAUAUAAACCAGUCAGGAAUCAUUAGAAAUAAUCUGGCUGUACAAAAAAAAUCAUUGCUAGCUGGGCGGUGGUGGUGCAUGCCUUUAAUCCCAGCACUUGGGAGGCAGAGGCAGGUGGAUCUCUGUGAGUUCGAGGUCAGCUUGGUCUACAAGAGCUAGUUCCAGGACAGCCUCCAAAGUCCCAGAGAAACCCUGUCUCAACGCCCCCACCCACAAAAAGUCAUUGCAAAAAGGGGAACCUAUUCUCAUUUCCAGGUUCCUUCUAGAUAGUAACUCUGAUGUCAGCCAUCACAGGGUCUUUGACCCUUCUGCUUCUGCUAAUUGCUGUUGGCUCUUGCACCACUGAUGCCUUAACAAAUGAUAAUUCCUAUCUGGGUAACAUUAAGCUGAUGUUUAUUAGACCCCAAUAUAAACAGGUACCAAUCACAGAGUCAAGGAUUCGACUCAGGAUACAACUCAAGGGGGGAGAGGGGAGAAUGUGAGAGUCAAAGUUACAUUUUAAAGUUUAAAUUACUAUGCCUAAGUGAUCCAUGAAACAAAAAUGCCUCUGAUCUGCAAGCCUCUUGCUCAAGGACAGAUAGUUCCUGAAAUGCUGGAGGCUAUUGUUUACUGGAGAUUACAAGCCACAUGCUUUUCACUCCAGUAAACAAGUUUGUACCAGAUGUGCUUGAUCACAUGUGGGCAGGAGGUUCACAGGCAGGAAAUAAACUUGCCCCCGACUGUAUGUAGGCUGGAGGUACCUCAGGGUGUAUGCUUGCUCCUGAUUGGACCAGAUGGGUUUUCCCUCUUAAGCUGCUACCAACCCUGACUCAGGGCUACUUCCUGGGAAUCUAGGUAUGGACCUGAUCAGAGGCUACCCACCUGGCCGGUAUUUAAUUAAAGCUUGCUUCAAAUUUGGCUUUAGACUGUGGUAGUGGGCUUAUUCUCGACCAGUGGGAUUAACAGGCAAGAGCAGUAUCGCUGAGUUGUACCUGCAGCUCUGUCUUUGACCAGUUUCGAAGUCACUUAGUUUAUUAUUUCAUUCACAGUGAGAUCAUCUUCUGAGGUUUCUGAUUUCACUGGUUGCUUCAUACUUAGUACUAAAGAAAAUAUUUUGCCUGGUUAUCAGGUCUGUAAAAAUAAAGUUUGUCAAUGGAAAGCUCUAACAUAAUUUGUGUAUUCAAAUAUUAUUACAAAGUCCUGCUGCUUGUAUUUGGGCUCUAGGAGGAAAUUAUUCUAGUAACCCAAGAAGUAAGUUUAAGAUGCAAAGACUUGGUCCAUAGUCAGUGAAGAACAGUUGUUUUCUGUCCUUCCAUAAAUAACUAAUGCCAAGAGCAGCCUGGCUAUCUAUUUCAGCUUCUUAUUACACAAGAGCGAAGUUAGCAAGGCUGCUAACAGAACAGCCUUGUUCAAUUCUAUUUAGCUUCCAGAUGCUUUAUUUUCCUAUUUAGUUAUUAAAAUAGCUUUCAAGUGAAUUUUUAACAUUAGCAUACAAAGUAACGAUUUUCAUUAUGACAUUUUCAUACAUAGUUUGCUCUUAUUUGUCCCUGUAUCCUACUGUCCUCACUGCUACCUCUCUCUAGUGUCCUCCUCUACCCUGUAGUACCUUUUCUGUUUUUCUACCAUGUAUAUCUCCCUUUUUAUACUGUAUUUUGAAUCUUGACAAUUGCAUCUUAUAUUUCCCUUUGUUUCUAAUUUGAUUUUGGUGAUAUGUUACUGAGUGUGCUUUACAGUGAGCCCCUGGGAGUGUAGGAAUUCCAAGCUCUUAAUGACUAGUUUUGUGACUGGACUCAUUGUUUCAUAUGCAUCUGUUUCUGCACCUUUCAAAGAUAAUAAUCUUCCAUCUUCCUAAGGCAUUAAAAACUGCAAUGGCUCUAAAAUGUCAGACAGCUGCUUGGGGGAGGGACAAAUGUUUUGCUCCCAGGUCAGAGGUCUUAGAGAUCUUUUCUUGCUUCCCUCCCUUCCUUCCCUCCUUUGCCCUCCCCCUCCCCCUCCUUCCUUCGUUCCUUCUUUCGUUCCUUCCUUCCUUCCAUUGUUAAUUGAUAUAGUGUGAUCUUGAGACAGGCUUUCAUUUUGUGGCUCAGUCUGGCCUCAAACUUGGUUCUGCCUAGGGCUCUAGAGUGCUGGGUCACAGGCCUGUGCCAUUACCUCCUGGUUUUGCUCUGGAAACAAUAAAAAAAGAAGUUCUUUGGAAAUAUUUGUUUCCAAUUUGGGUGAAUUUUUGUUUGGUUGGUGAAACAGUCUCAUGUAACCUUGGCUGACCUAGAACUCACAGAGACCCACCUGUCUCUGCCUCCUGAAUGCUGGGAUUAAAUGUGUACUCCACCACACCUGGUUGUUUUCUCUCUUGCACAAGUAGCUUUUCUUCUUUAUCCUGAAUGUUGUUGGUUAAGCAUUCAGGAAAAGAUCUGGUAGAUAGUAAAGGUGACCAGACCUACUGUGGGCACUAAUGAAUAGUUUAAUGACAAAUAGUUUAAAUGAUAUGUAGCUUUUCGCUUGAUACACACAUACAUAUGUAUACACACACGCAUAUAUGAUAUGUACACACAUAUGUAUAUACAAACAAAAUCCAAUUUUCCCCUCCUUUAUUUACACCUUGUAAAGCUGGAGGGACUUCUGCACGUUCCUGAGGACUACUGAGUUCAGAAGACUUAAUUAAAAAUGUCUGGGCUACGUGACUGAUGAUGAAGGAAACUAGAAAAAGUAUCAUUGGUUACAAGUUCUUUUCCUGCUUAGUUUAACAGGUUGAGUUAUGUGGAACACUGGGUCUGUGUGGUACCUGUGUUUUAAUUCCAUAACUAAACUUUAAGUUGUUGAACAAGUGAAUGUUUGUCCCUCCAAUUUCUUUUGUAUUAACUUGAGGAUAAAUGACAGGUCUCUGUACACUGUAGGUCCCUAGUAGGAUAUAUAGCCAGCUAAUAAUUAUCUGUUUCUGGUAUUACAACAAGAUCUUAUAAAAAUAAAGAUGACAAUUAAA